rnacentral:piRNA from 1 species
AAAUUGACAGUAGAUGGUAACACU